rnacentral:rRNA from 1 species
UACGUAGGGUGCGAGCGUUGUCCGGAAUUACUGGGCGUAAAGAGCUCGUAGGUGGUUUGUCGCGUUGUUCGUGAAAACUCACAGCUCAACUGUGGGCGUGCGGGCGAUACGGGCAGACUAGAGUACUGCAGGGGAGACUGGAAUUCCUGGUGUAGCGGUGGAAUGCGCAGAUAUCAGGAGGAACACCAGCGGCGAAGGCGGCAUCCUGGACUGGUCCUGACACUCAGGAGCGAAAGCGUGGGGAGCGAUCCGG